CGCAUGCGAAGAAGUGAGAGGUUGCUGGCAAUAGCCGGGUAAUUUUUGCGGAGUAUGUCUUGCUAUAAGCGAGGCGA
rfam:Clostridiales bacterium 38_11 MPI_scaffold_669, whole genome shotgun sequence.